GAUGAAGAACGUAGUGAAAUGCGAUAAGUAAUGUGAAUUGCAGAAUUCAGUGAAUCAUCGAAUCUUUGAACGCACAUUGCGCCCGGCAGUACUCUGCCGGGCAUGCCUGUUCGAGCGUCAUUUCAACCCUCAAGCCCUGCUUGGUGUUGGGGCCCUGCGGCUGCCGCAGGCCCUGAAAGGAAGUGGCGGGCUCGCUACAACUCCGAGCGUAGUAAUUCAGUAUCUCGCUUAGGGCGUUGGGCGGCGCUCCUGCCGUUAAAGACCAUCUUUAACUCAAGGUUGACCUCGGAUCAGGUAGGAAUACCCGCUGAACUUAAGCAUAUCAAUAAGCGGAGGA
rnacentral:misc_RNA from 1 species